rfam:Pteropus alecto contig165216, whole genome shotgun sequence.
GGUUCCAUAGUGCAGCAGUUAGCACGUCCGCUUUGCACACAGAAGGUCCUGGGUUCGUGCCCCAGUGGAGUUA